rnacentral:rRNA from 1 species
UGCAAGUCGAACGAUGACUUUUGUGCUUGCACAGAAUGAUUAGUGGCGAACGGGUGAGUAACACGUGAGUAACCUGCCCCUGACUCUGGGAUAAGCCUGGGAAACUGGGUCUAAUACUGGAUAUGCACCGUAGACCGCAUGGUUUUUGGUGGAAAGAAUUUUGGUCAGGGAUGGACUCGCGGCCUAUCAGCUUGUUGGUGAGGUAAUGGCUCACCAAGGCGACGACGGGUAGCCGGCCUGAGAGGGUGACCGGCCACACUGGGACUGAGACACGGCCCAGACUCCUACACGAGAGGCAGCAGUGGGGAAUAUUGCACAAUGGGCGAAAGCCUGAUGCAGCGACGCCGCGUGAGGGAUGACGGC